AUUGAACGCUGGCGGCAGGCCUAACACAUGCAAGUCGAGCGGAUGACGGGAGCUUGCUCCUUGAUUCAGCGGCGGACGGGUGAGUAAUGCCUAGUAAUCUGCCUGGUAGUGUGGGACAAUGUUUCGAAAGGAACGCUAAUACCGCAUACGACCUACGGGAGAAAGCAGGGGACCUUCGGGCUUUGCGCUAUCAGAUGAGCCUAGGUCGGAUUAGCUAGGUGGUGGGGUAAUGGCUCACCAAGGCGAAGAUCCGUAACUGGUAUGAGAGGAUGGUCAGUCAGACUGGAACUGAGACACGGUCCAGACUCCUACGGGAGGCAGCAGUGGGGAAUAUUGGACAAUGGGCGAAAGCCGGAUCCAGCCAUGCCGCGUGUGUGAAGAAGGUCUUCGGAUUGUAAAGCACUUUAAGUUGGGAGGAAGGGCAGUAAGCUAAUACCUUGCUGUUUUGACGUUACCGACAGAAUAAGCACCGGCUAACUCUGUGCCAGCAGCCGCCGUAA
rnacentral:rRNA from 1 species